AGCAGCAUUGUACAGGGCUA
rnacentral:ncRNA from 3 species